UACGUAGGGUGCGAGCGUUAAUCGGAAUUACUGGGCGUAAAGCGUGCGCAGGCGGUUUUGUAAGCCAGAUGUGAAAUCCCCGGGCUUAACCUGGGAAUGGCAUUUGGGACUGCAAGGCUGGAGUGCGGCAGAGGAGACUGGAAUUCCUGGUGUAGCAGUGAAAUGCGUAGAGAUGUGGAGGAACACCGAUGGCGAAGGCAGCCUCCUGGGCCAGCACUGACGCUCAUGCACGAAAGCGUGGGGAGCAAACAGG
rnacentral:rRNA from 1 species